UGACAGAAGUGUUUUAAGUGGAUUCCAAGAUCAAUUUGCGCAUUGUUUGAUUUACGAAGCUAGGGGAAUCAACAAUCUCGAAGCUAUUAAACUCUUUAGCAAGCCUGCCUUUAGAAGCAACUCUCCUCCAAAUGCUUUUCUGAGUCUAUCUAACAAAGUUUACUUAAAAAAUCGGAGGGCUAUCGAAGUGAUGGAAUCAUUAUUAUAUGGGAAAAAGAAGGCACCUUUGGCAAGAUACAUUGAAAAAGAUGGAAUAUUACCCUCAUAAGGAUGUGAAGAAAAAGUUAAUGUUGAGUUAUGAGACAUUAGAUCAUCAGCAAAGACAAAUAUUUAUUGAUAUUGUUUGCUUUCUAGCUGGAGAAAAUAAGACUUAUGCAGAUUACAUGUGAGAUGACUCUGGGUUUUUUCCGAAUUAGGGGAUUGAAGUUCUACUUUUGAUGUCCUUAGUCAAAAUUGGAGAAAACGAUCAACUAUGGAUGUAUGAUUAGCGUAGAGACUUGGCCAGGAGCAUUGUAUACCAAGAAAGUCAUAAAGAUCCAGGAAAACGCUCAUGGGUGUGGAAUCAGGAAGAAGCUCUUAAUAUGAUCAACAGAACGAAGGAAAACGAAACUGUUGAAGCGAUCUGUAUGAACUUUCGCGGGAUUAUGCCAGCCAUUGUUUUGGCAUCAGAUGAAUUUAGGAAAGUGCCAAGUAUUAGAUUUCUUAAAAUGGAUGGUGGGAACCUUUCUGGAGAUUUUGAGGAUCUCUUUGAGAAUUGAGAUGGUUUUCUUGGAAGAACGGUCCGUCAACGCUAGGUGCGACCAACUUUUGCCCAAAAAAUCUACUCAUCCUCGACCUAUCGAGGAGCCGAAUAGACGAACUUUGGGGCGGUUGGACUCAACUUAAGAUGACCAAUAGAUUGAAGGUCCUUAAUCUGUCAAAGUGCCCCAGGUUAAAGGAAUCCCCUGACUUCUCUGCAUUUUUAUCCUUAUAAAUUUUAAUUGUAGAGGAGUGUAGGAACGUGUUAAGGAUUGAUGGAUCUAUUGAUCAUCUGAAACGUCUGAAGCACUUGGAUUUAAAUAGCUGUUCUAGUUUCCAAGUGCUUCCUAUUGAAUUAGGCUCUCUGAAAGCUUUGACUGUGCUACUCAUUCGCAACUUUAAAUUCUUUGGAAGCAUUAAUAAAAUCCCAAGAUCAAUUGAAGCACUCGUAAAUCUUUAGUGCUUCGCCAUUGGUGGAGUUCGUGAGCUAACGACACUUCCUGACUCCAUUGGUGCUGCGACUUUUGGCUGAGUUGGAUAUCUCAGGCACAGACAUUAGAGAAUUGCCAAAUACCA